AAUCAUGAGCGCCAACAUCAAGCCCUGGCUUGUUGGCCGGCAACCCUCUCGUGCGUAGCGGGGUGCUCCAGGUGAUGAUUCGGCCGUACCGAAGAACAGCGGUUCGGCAAGUACCGCGU
rnacentral:ncRNA from 1 species